UUCCUUAGUUCAGUUGGGAGAGCAUGAGACCCUUAUUCUCAGGGUCAUAGGUUUGAGCCCCACUUUGGGCAAAA